GACGAACGCUGGCGGCGUGCCUAAUACAUGCAAGUCGAACGCAGUGGGGCCGGGUGAGUGACACGUGGGUAACCUCCCGUCAGAGGGGAUAACACGUGGAAACAGGUGCUAAACCGAUACUGAUGGAUGGACCCGCAGUGUAUUAGCUAGUUGGUGAGGUAACGGCUCACCAAGGCCACGAUGCAUAGCUGGACUGAGAGGGUGAUCGGCCACACUGGGACUGAGCAACGGCCCAGACUCCUACGGGAGGCAGCAGUAGGGAAUCUUGCGUAAUGGACGAAAGUCUGACCGAGCAACGCCGCGUGAGUGAAGAAGGUUUUCGGAUCGUAAAACUCUGUUGUUAGAGAAGCGGUAUCUAACCAGAAAGCCACGGCUAACUACGUGCCAGCAGCCGCGGUAAUUC
rnacentral:rRNA from 1 species